rfam:Schistosoma margrebowiei strain Zambia genome assembly, scaffold: SMRZ_scaffold0001076
GCACUGCUGAGGAGUCCCACGACAGGACAAAAUGGCCAUCCAGUGC